GUGGGGAAUCUUCCACAAUGGACGAAAGUCUGAUGGAGCAACGCCGCGUGAGUGAAGAAGGGUUUCGGCUCGUAAAGCUCUGUUGUCGGGGACGAAUGUGCAGUAUUUGAAUAAAGUACUGCAAUGACGGUACCUGACGAGGAAGCCACGGCUAACUACGUGCCAGCAGCCGCGGUAAUACGUAGGUGGCAAGCGUUGUCCGGAAUUAUUGGGCGUAAAGGGAGCGCAGGCGGGAAGGUAAGUCGGUCUUAAAAGUGCGGGGCUCAACCCCGUGAUGGGAUCGAAACUAUCUUUCUUGAGUGCAGGAGAGGAAAGUGGAAUUCCUAGUGUAGCGGUGAAAUGCGUAGAUAUUAGGAGGAACACCAGUGGCGAAGGCGACUUUCUGGACGAAAACUGACGCUGAGGCGCGAAAGCCAGGGGAGCGAACGGGAUUAGAUACCCGAGUAGUCC
rnacentral:rRNA from 1 species